rnacentral:tRNA from 1 species
GGUGAGGUGCCCGGAGUGGUGGAUCGGGGACCAGCGAGCACGCCUCGUGGUCGGGUCCACCAGGCCCACGCAGGUUCAAAUCCUGCCCUCUCCG